UACGUAGGCGGCUAUGCAAGUUGGGUGUGAAAGCCCGGGGCUCAACCCCGGAACUGCACUCAAAACUGUGUAGCUAGAGUUCGGAAGAGGUAAGUGGAAUUCCCAGUGUAGAGGUGAAAUUCGUAGAUAUUGGGAAGAACACCAGUGGCGAAGGCGGCUUACUGGUCCGAUACUGACGCUGAGGUACGAAAGCGUGGGGAGCAAACA
rnacentral:rRNA from 1 species